rnacentral:rRNA from 1 species
CAGCAGCCGCGGGAAUACGAAGGGGGCUAGCGUUGUUCGGAAUUACUGGGCGUAAAGCGCACGUAGGCGGAUAUUUAAGUCAGGGGUGAAAUCCCGCAGCUCAACUGCGGAACUGCCUUUGAUACUGGGUAUCUUGAGUAUGGAAGAGGUAAGUGGAAUUGCGAGUGUAGAGGUGAAAUUCGUAGAUAUUCGCAGGAACACCAGUGGCGAAGGCGGCUUACUGGUCCAUUACUGACGCUGAGGUGCGAAAGCGUGGGGAGCAAACAGGAUUAGAUACCCGCGUAGUCCCUGUCUCUUAUAC